AGUAGUUGAAUUAGUCUGCAAAUCAAAUCGAACACAUUUAAACAUUCCUGGUAUGCUUUAUGGGGGAUUGCCAAUGAAAAUGUUACGGCAAACGAAGAACCGCAACAUGAAAGGCAACUUCUGCUAUUGAUCACUGGAUUUUUAUGCAUUUGAGGUGUUUCCUGUAAUAUUAUGUAUGCCAUCACGAGUCGACCCUUGCCCUAUAUUGCCUGUGUCUCAACCCAUGCCCAAUAUGGACUGUAGUCUGCAAUAUUGUAAUUCCUACCCUAAUAGUAUUGCAAUACCUAUCAUGCACGAUCCCAAAUUAUGUUUGGUCGAGUUUAUCAUGAAUUCAUUUGUUGGUGGUAGAAAUGAUCUGUACCAUUGCAUUCUACAAUCAUAUCAAUCUUACUAUUUCCACACCUGCAUGUAUGCUCCCACACACACACACCUCAGGGACCAGCACACUACUACACACUCAACGAGUACGAGAACUUGUACUAAACAAUGCGGCCGGCGGGGAGCGAGGUGGAGCGGCACACACUCGGCCGAUGAUUAGUGCAACAGUCAAGCAUUGGCGGCAACUGGUGGCUGGAGCCAGUCAGACUAUCAAGUAUCAACCACAAACACUGAACAAUAUUUGACCCUCAUACCAAACAAUAUUCAUAUUCUAUUUAAUCUUUCUCACUCAAAAUUCUAGUAUAUUCUUAUUAUGAUCUUUUUCACAUUCUUUGCUAGGUUAGCUAGGCAUAGAUCAGGGCCAGGUAAGCGCCUUGUAGGUCAUCUCUCCUAUAUUCAACCAGCGCUACAUCCAACCAGCGCUACAGCGUCAAGUCAUCAGACCUACCAUUGGUAAAUAUGUUGUUUUGUAGUGCAUGCUUGGUGUAUUGUACAACACCAUGUUGUUUUGUACCCGUGUCUAUUACUCGUACUAUCCCUAUGCAACAGUGGCUGUCACAGGCUGCUGUUGUGUGGGUGUAUGUAACCAAUCAAUUGUGUCAUGCUCAUUCAUUCCCACUCAGGUAGGUUCAAGCACUCUACGGACACCACGGCAGCCUCGCUAACGCCCGUCACCCUGGUAACGUAUAUUUGGGUGGUACGUACGUAGACAUUGGUAGGGUAUGCAUUCUGCUGUUUUGGCUUGCUAGUUCCCCAUGUGACAAUGGUCAUCAUUGGCUGCUGUCACAUGGGUGUAUGCUUCUAAUCCAUUGUGUGAAGCUGUGUAAUUUUAUUUUCCCACUCAGCUGGAUAUGGAAGACCAAGGGACCCGGAUUCGCCGCAGCACGGCUAAGUAUAAGCCAAUGAAAUGGUAGAUCAUCUCUUCAAUCACUCCAACAGAUGCCGACCAUCUCGCUACUACCGAUGCCGACCAUCUUGCUACUACCGAUGCUGACCAUCUCGCUACUGCCGAUGCUGACCAUCUCGCUACUGCCGAUGCCGACCAUCUCGCUAAUGCCGAUGCCGACCACCUCGCUACUACCGAUGCCGGCCACCUCACUACUACCGAUGCCGGCCACCUCGCAACUACCGAUGCCGGCCACCUCGCUACUACCGAUGCAGGCCACCUCGCUACUACCGAUGCCGGCCACCUCGCCACUACCGAUGCCGGCCACCUCGCUACUACCGAUGCCGGCCACCUUGCUACUGCCGAUGCCGGCCACCUCGCUACUACCGAUGCCGGCCACCUAGCCAGUGCCGAUUCAGGACAUCUCACUUCAACUGAUGCUGGAUACUUCGCUACUACUGGCGCUUCGCUAUAACUGGCAUCAGCCAACUCUGUACCACCUACUUUGUGGCUCACUACUACCAC